rnacentral:rRNA from 1 species
UACGUAGGGGGCAAGCGUUGUUCGGAAUUACUGGGCGUAAAGGGCGCGUAGGCGGCACAGCAAGUCGGGAGUGAAAGCCCGGGGCUCAACCCCGGAACGUCUUUCGAAACUGCUGAGCUCGAGUGCGGAAGAGGCAACUGGAAUUCCCAGUGUAGCGGUGAAAUGCGUAGAUAUUGGGAAGAACACCUGAGGCGAAGGCGGGUUGCUGGGCCGACACUGACGCUGAGGCGCGAAAGCCAGGGGAGCAAAGCGGG